UACGUAGGCAGCAAGCGUUGUUCGGAGUUACUGGGCGUAAAGGGUGUGUAGGCGGUUCUUUAAGUUUGGUGUGAAAUCUCCCGGCUCAACUGGGAGGGUGCGCCGAAUACUGAGGGACUAGAGUACGGGAGAGGAAAGUGGAAUUCCUGGUGUAGCGGUGAAAUGCGUAGAUAUCAGGAGGAACACCGGCGGUGUAGACGGCUCUCUGGACCGUAACUGGCGCUGAGACGCGAAAGCGUGGGGAGCGAACAGG
rnacentral:rRNA from 1 species